rnacentral:rRNA from 1 species
UACAGAGGUCUCAAGCGUUGUUCGGAUUCCUUGGGCGUAAAGGGUGCGUAGGUGGCGCGGUAAGUCGGGUGUGAAAUUUCGGAGCUUAACUCCGAAACUGCAUUCGAUACUGCUCUGCUUGAGGACUGGAGAGGAGACUGGAAUUCACGGUGUAGCAGUGAAAUGCGUAGAGAUCGUGAGGAAGACCAGUGGCGAAGGCGGGUCUCUGGACAGUUCCUGACGCUGAGGCGCGAAGGCCAGGGGAGCAAACGGG